AAUACAAAAAGAAACAAAGGGAAAGCUACAAAUACCAGACGCAAUACUUUUUGGGGCCUUUCCUUCGCUGUUCGCACUUUAGGAAAUUUUCUUAAGUGAAACUAGGCGCAGGGGUCUCGAACAUGAGUCUACGUCUGUCUCUACCUGCCACUCGGUCUCGCCCGUGGCCGCUUCUUGGCCUGUCCUUCUGGAUAUCGUCGGUGACACGUGCGCCGAGGGCAUGGCUGAGGUGCGCCGCUGCGUCGAAAUUCGUUCGUCCGGGAUCGCAUGACAGUUUUAAGUUUUUUUUAUUUUUGUAUAUUGUGACACAAUGUAUAAAUUCAUGUUUCCUUAUUAAACAGCGAAAUAAAA